rnacentral:rRNA from 1 species
CAGCAGCCACGGUAAUACGAAGGGUGCAAGCGUUACUCGGAAUUACUGGGCGUAAAGCGUGCGUAGGUGGUGGUUUAAGUCCGUUGUGAAAGCCCUGGGCUCAACCUGGGAAUUGCAGUGGAUACUGGGUCACUAGAGUGUGGUAGAGGAUAGUGGAAUUUCCGGUGUAGCAGUGUAAUGCGUAGAGAUCGGAAGGAACAUCUGUGGCGAAGGCGACUAUCUGGGCCAACACUGACACUGAGGCACGAAAGCGUGGGGAGCAAACAGGAUUAGAUACCCCCGUAGUCCCUGUCUCUUAUAC